rnacentral:rRNA from 1 species
CAUGCAAGUCGAACGGCAGCACGGGGGCAACCCUGGUGGCGAGUGGCGAACGGGUGAGGAAUACAUCGGAACGUGUCUUCAAGUGGGGGAUAACGCAUCGAAAGGUGUGCUAAUACCGCAUAAUCUCUGAGGAGAAAAGCAGGGGAUCGCAAGACCUUGCGCUUUUAGAGCGGCCGAUGUCUGAUUAGCUUGUUGGUGAGGUAAAAGCUUACCAAGGCUUCGAUCAGUAGCUGGUCUGAGAGGACGACCAGCCACACUGGGACUGAGACACGGCCCAGACUCCUACGGGAGGCAGCAGUGGGGAAUUUUGGACAAUGGGGGCAACCCUGAUCCAGCCAUGCCGCGUGAGUGAAGAAGGCCUUCGGGUUGUAAAGCUCUUUCAGCCGGAACGAAACGGUUACAGUUAAUACCUGUGACUACUGACGGUACCGGAAGAAGAAGCACCGGCUAACUACGUGCCAGCAGCCGCGGUAAUACGUAGGGUGCGAGCGUUAAUCGGAAUUACUGGGCGUAAAGCGUGCGCAGGCAGUUUUGUAAGUCAGAUGUGAAAUCCCCGGGCUUAACCUGGGAACUGCGUUUGAAACUACAAGGCUAGAGUGU